GUCGACGAAUUGACCUAUAACUGGCGGGAGCCUUGCCUGGUCGAAACUUCACGCACCCAAUCAUCUCUCGCUCUCUAUGGCGUUAAAAUCUCACUAUUAAUCAAAACUAUUUUUUUUCUCCAAAACCCUUCCAAAUUCCAAUCUUUAAAACCGAUUUCGCCCAUUGUUCUCCGCCUCUUUCUUUCAUCAUUUACGUUCCUUUUUUCCAUUAUUGAAUUCUAGGGUUUGGUUUGUAUCUUAAUUGAGAAUUGAAAAACCCUAGUUUUUCCUUCCCUUUUCUUUUGGCUCUUCUUUUUGCGGAUAAAAAGUGACAGAGUUGGUGUAGCGUGGUACAUUCUGAUCAGCCAGUGUUGCCGCCGCACGGAGCUGUUUCGCUCCCAAUGUCAUCAUCGUCGCGUAAGGAGUGGCGUGCCAUUUCCGAACAUCACCCGGUUCGAACCAUGGGGAUGAAGUGGAAAUGGACAGAUCAAAGAUGGGGCAAUCAAAUGAGAGAACCAUAUAUGAGCAUGGAAGAGAGCUUGCUGAUGUUAACUUCUCUAUCGCGGUGAUGGAAGUUUAGAUGAUGACAUGUUACAGCAGCAAAUCCACAAUAUAACUAGACAAAGAGAAGAGCUCCUGCAAAUGGAGGUUAAAUUCCGAGCUCAGGCAAUUGCAAGGUCAAGGGUCCUGGAAAUGCAGAGCAGCUGUGAUGCUAAAAUAGCUGCACAUGCCAAUGCUGUUGCCAAGCUUGAGGAGCAACUCCA